rnacentral:rRNA from 1 species
AAUGGGCGCAAGCCUGAUCCAGCCAUGCCGCGUGAGUGACGACGGUCUUAGGGUUGUAAAGCUCUUUCAGAUGCGAAGAUAAUGACGGUAACAUCAGAAGAAGCUCCGGCUAAAUUCGUGCCAGCAGCCGCGGUAAUACGAAUGGAGCAAGCGUUGUUCGGAAUCACUGGGCGUAAAGCGUACGUAGGCUGAUUUUCAAGUCAGAAGUGAAAGCCCAGGGCUCAACCCUGGAACGGCUUUUGAAACUGGAAGUCUAGAGUCCCGGAGAGGUUAGGGGAAUUCCGAGUGUAGCAGUGAAAUGCGCAGAUAUUCGGAGGAACACCAGUGGCGUAGGCGCCUAACUGGACGGGAACUGACGCUGAGGUACGAAAGCGUGGGGAGCAAACAGGAUU